CAAACUUGAGAGUUUGAUCCUGGCUCAGAACGAACGCUGGCGGCAUGCUUAACACAUGCAAGUCGAACGAGAUCUUCGGAUCUAGUGGCGCACGGGUGCGUAACGCGUGGGGAUCUACCAUAGGGUGCGGAAUAACUCAGAGAAAUUUGAGCUAAUACCGCAUAAUGUCUUCGGACCAAAGAUUUAUCGCCCUUUGAUGAACCCGCGUAAGAUUAGCUUGUUGGUGAGGUAAAGGCUCACCAAGGCGACGAUCUUUAGCUGGUCUGAGAGGAUGAUCAGCCACACUGGGACUGAGACACGGCCCAGACUCCUACG
rnacentral:rRNA from 1 species